AACGAACGCUGGCGGCAUGCCUAACACAUGCAAGUCGAACGAGACCUUCGGGUCUAGUGGCGCACGGGUGCGUAACGCGUGGGAACCUGCCCUUAGGUUCGGAAUAACUCCCCGAAAGGGGUGCUAAUACCGGAUAAUGUCUUCGGACCAAAGAUUUAUCGCCUUUGGAUGGGCCCGCGUUGGAUUAGCUAGUUGGUAGGGUAAAAGCCUACCAAGGCGACGAUCCAUAGCUGGUCUGAGAGGAUGAUCAGCCACACUGGGACUGAGACACGGCCCAGACUCCUACGGGAGGCAGCAGGGGGGAAUAUUGGAAAAUGGGCGAAAGCCUGAUCCAGCAAGGCCGGGUGAGUGAUGAAGGCCUUAGGGUUGUAAAGCUCUUUUACCCGGGAUGAUAAUGACAGUACCGGGAGAAUAAGCCCCGGCUAACCCCGU
rnacentral:rRNA from 1 species